rnacentral:rRNA from 1 species
AUGGCGGAGGCUGCUCUUCUUCUUGUCACGACAAAGAUUGGAAAAGCUGUGGCAACAGAAACACUGCACUAUGCUAGACCAUGGCUAACAAAAAAAGCUGGGUCUAUUGCAGAGCUCCCAACCAACAUGACACUGAUAAAGAAUGACCUCGAGGUUAUACAAGCAUUUAUCAAGGAUACUGGCGGCAAGGGUUUGAUAGAUGGAGUCACCGAAACAUGGAUAGGGCAAGUCCGAAGAUUGGCGUAUGAUAUGGAAGACAUUGUGGAUCAAUAUAUGUAUGUUGUUGGUAAACACCAUCAGAAAGGAUCAAAGUGGAGUUAUGUGAAGAAAAUUGUGAAGAAACCCCAGUACCUGUUUACACUAGAUGAAAUUGCUACUGCCCUUGAGAGAAUAAACCAAGCGCUUAUACGUCUUAAACAAAACAAAGACUGGACUCAACCAAUAGCUGGUGUGGGCGAUGUUUAUGCAACAAAUUAUGACAGCCAACAGCAACUAUAUCUUCCUGGACAUGAUUACUCAAUCUCUGAUGAUGAACUUGUAGGAAUUGAUAAAAAUAGAGACAUCUUGAUGGGGUCACUGAAUUUGGAAAAAUCUCUAGAUCUGCAAACCAUUGCCUUGUGGGGUAUGGGUGGUAUCGGGAAAAGCACUCUUGUCAAUAACGUGUUUAGAAAUGAAGCAUCCAACUUUGAAUGCCGUGUAUGGGUUUCCGUCUCUCAGUCCUAUAAGCUAGAUGAUAUUUGGAGAAUAAUGCUGAAAGAAAUCUAUUCUAAAGACCAGAAAGCAUUUGAUGGUGAGAAGCUGACUUGUGCAGAGCUACAAGAUGAAUUGAAGGAAACCCUGAAGACAAAGCGGUACUUGAUCAUAUUGGAUGAUGUCUGGACAGCUGAAGCUUUUAGAAAAAUUAAAGGGGUUCUCGUCGACACAAAGAUGGGAAGCAGAAUAAUAAUCACAACAAGAUCUGAUGAAGUAGCUUCACAAGCUGAUGAUGGAUACAAGAUCAAAGUUGAGCCUCUUGAGAAGGAGGAUGCAUGGCGUCUAUUUUGCAGGAAGGCGUUUCCGAGAACUGAAAAUCACAUCUGCCCAUUAGCAUUACGGAAAUGUGGUGAAUCCAUAGUGGAGAAGUGUGAUGGUUUACCAUUAGCCCUUGUGUCCAUAGGGAGCAUAUUAUCUCUUAAGGAGCAGAAUGAUACAGAGUGGGGACUAUUUGAAGCACAACUUAUUUCCGAGCUAAACAACAAUUCGGACCUGAAGCAUGUGGUGAAAAUUCUAAAUCUAAGCUACAAAUACUUGCCUGACGAUUUGAAGAGUUGUUUCUUGUAUUGUGCCAUGUUCCCAGAAGACCACAUGAUCCAUAGAAAAAGAUUGAUCAGACUGUGGGUUGCAGAAGGGUUUAUUAAACAAAAUGGAAAUUGCAGUUUAGAAGAUGUUGCUGAAGGUUACCUGAGAGAGCUCGUUCGACGAAGCAUGCUUCAUGUGGUAGAGAGGAACAGUUUUAACAGGAUCAAGUGUGUUCGAAUGCAUGAUCUUGUGCGGGAACUAGCCAUUUUCCAAUCCAAGAGAGAGAGUUUCGGUACAACUUAUGAUGAUAGUCAUGGGGUGAUGCAGGUGGAUUCUCGUCGCAUGUCGGUGCUCCAAUGCAAAAAUGACACUCAACCAAGCGUAGGUCAAUGCGGGCUUCGUACCUUCAUAGCAUUCAACACUAGUAUGGGAUCCUUUCCAUGGUUUAGCUCAGAAUCGAAGUACCUUGCUGUGUUGGAGCUAUCAGGAUUACCUAUUGAGACUGUUCCAAAUUCAAUUGGGGAGCUAUUCAACCUUAGGUAUUUGGGCCUCAACAAAACCAAGGUGAAGGUACUCCCGAAAUCUGUUGUGAACCUUCACAACUUAGAAACAUUGAGUCUUCGAGGUGCAGACUGUCUGUAUCUCCCACGAGGGUCUAAAAAGUUGAAGAGCUUGCGGCACAUUAUAAUGGGUAAAUUGCUGGACCAAAGUUGGUUGAGUUUCAAAAGUUUUGAAUGUAUGGAGCCUUUUAAUGGAUUGUGGAGUUUCAAGAACUUGCAAACUCUAGGUGCAGUUCGAGCUAGUAAAGCUUUCGUUGCAAAACUAGCAAGUUUAUCUCAGCUGAGGACCCUUAGCAUUAGUGGGGUAAGGGGCAUCCAUUGUGCACAAUUGUGUGACUCUCUGUCAAAGAUGCAUCAGCUCUCAGUGUUAGAAAUAAUAGCCAUCAAUGAAGAUGAGGUACUCCAGCUUGAAAUUUUAACUUUGUCAAACCGUCUUAGAAAGCUCUGUCUGUACGGCCGAUUUUCCGAAGGAACUUUUAAGUCUCCAUUUUUCUCAAGCAACGGAGAUGUCCUUCACAAAAUAUCUCUACGUUGGUCCCAGCUCUCAGAGAACCCAGUGCCGCGCCUCUCUGAGUUGUCAAACUUGACCGAAAUAGUUCUAAGCAAAGCGUAUACUGGACAGGAGAUAAACUUCCAGCCAGUGUGGUUCCCAAAUGUGAAGAUUCUUUUCUUGUUGAAUUUGCCACAUGUCAACCAAAUAUGCAUACACGAGGGAGCUUUGGUCCGCCUUGAAGAACUUGUGAUCAGUGACCUUGUUGUACUGCGGGACAUCCCUACCGGCCUGGAACAUCUGAAAUCCCUCCAGGAGGCGUUUUUUCGUCAUAUGCAUCCUGAUUUCGAUAGGAAUCUUCGAAGGGCAAUACCAGAGCAUAUCCCGAGAGUCUACUGCACCAUAAGACCCGGAGAGGCAUGA